AGUGAACGCUGGCGGUAGGCCUAACACAUGCAAGUCGAACGGCAGCACAGAGGAGCUUGCUCCUUGGGUGGCGAGUGGCGGACGGGUGAGGAAUACAUCGGAAUCUACUCUGUCGUGGGGGAUAACGUAGGGAAACUUACGCUAAUACCGCAUACGACCUACGGGUGAAAGCAGGGGCUCUUCGGACCUUGCGCGAUUGAAUGAGCCGAUGUCGGAUUAGCUAGUUGGCGGGGUAAAGGCCCACCAAGGCGACGAUCCGUAGCUGGUCUGAGAGGAUGAUCAGCCACACUGGAACUGAGACACGGUCCAGACUCCUACGGGAGGCAGCAGUGGGGAAUAUUGGACAAUGGGCGCAAGCCUGAUCCAGCCAUACCGCGUGGGUGAAGAAGGCCCUCGGGUUGUAAAGCCCUUUUGUUGGGAAAGAAAUCCAUCUGGUUAAUACCCGGGUGGGAUGACGGUACCAAAGAAUAAGCACCGGCUAACUUCGUGCCAGCAGCCGCGGUAA
rnacentral:rRNA from 1 species